GUGGAGCUGACUUAGUAGGGACUGAGCUGGAGUGAACUGAACCUAUCUUCCUUGAGCUGGCCGAGCUACUCGUCCACUUCGUCCUAGCUACCGUCUUACUCGUCCUAGCUGACACUUAGCUCGUAUAAGGUUAAGUCUAAGUUUCCUUAUAUCCUUAACCUUCUUUGUCGACCAUGGAACGCUUGCCUUGAUGUCUCAAGACUGGCUUGUACGUUUCCUCGAACCAUGGCCGUCCCAACAAUCCUAUUCAGGAUUGGGGGCGUGACAGCCCAAGUGUGCCAAAAUCACC
rnacentral:lncRNA from 1 species